rnacentral:lncRNA from 1 species
AUUUUAAAUAGCCCAUAUUUGUCUAAACGGGUUUAGGGGUCCCUUGCUUUCAGAAAAAUAAAAUUUAGAGAAAAGCCUUCGAAAUUUUCCACCAAAAUUCGGAGAAAAAUCGGUGGACUGAGUACGGAAUUGAUGGUAAGAACUUGUUUUCCACCAAAAUUACAUCCACAUGCUUCCUUCGUUAAUUCAAGCUUGAAACCUUCCGAUUCACCUAAGACUUUCGGCUGUAGUAGACCAUGACCACGCAAUCAAACUAGAUUCUUCCGACGGGGAUUUAUAUACUUCACUUGUGAGAGGUAAUUAUUUUGAUGAGGAAAAUUACCCAUUUCGACACAAAAUGCUGCUGCAGAUUUUCACUGUAGAUGUUUAACGUAAAUAUUUUCACUGUAAUUAUUUGACAUUUUCUGGAAGAAAAAUUAGAAAAUCUCUUCUUUAUCCAGAACACAGUCAAAAAUCUCUUCUUUUAUCCUUUUAAGAUCUUAAAUUCAUUCAGGGUUGGGUUUGUGUUCGAAUUAUUAUUAUUUUAUUUUAUUUUUUAAAUUAGUGUCCAUUAAGAUUAUAUUGUCGACAAUAUGUAUAAAAUUUGGAAACAACUUGGUGGUAUAGGGAUGGACAAAAUGACGGAGAAAGGUAAUGUCGUUGUAAUUUAUUGAAGUCGCACUGUUUCGAAACCUAUGUAUUUUCACUGCUCGGGCAAAUUUCUUGUUUCAUUUCUAAUAUUAUUGAAGUAAGAUUUCCAUGAACAAUACUCAAAAUUCAUAUUGUCAUUUAAUAUGAUAUAGGAAAAGAAGUUGUGGAAGUAUUGGACGAUGAAGUUUUAAUAGAAUCCAAAAACGACAACAAUACGGAGAAUAUCGUCAACAAUACAGGCAAUGUCAUCACAUUAGACCAUAUGGGCUUAGGAGAAGAUGGCGUGAUUGUGCCUAAAGUUGGUAUGAAGUUCAAAGAUGAGAAAGAGGUGUAUGAGUUUUAUAAGAGGUAUGCAUAUGACGUAGGUUUUCCGGUUAGGAGGAAUUCUAGAAAGGAAGAAGAUGGAGUAGUGAAUUACGUUACGUUGACCUGUUGUCUUGAGGGCUGAAGAAGCAGUAAUGCAGGUGUUUCUUUGAAGCCACAUCCAACAAUUCAGACAGAUUGCAAAGUAAGACUUACUGCUUCUUCAGAUAUUUGUGGAAUAUGAAAAAUUUGCACAGUUGAUCUCGAACACAAUCAUAAAACUAGUCCUUCAAAAUCCAGAUUAUAUCGUUGCAAUCGAGGAUUGAGUGCAAAUAUCAAACGCAAGCUCGAAGUGAACAAUAUGACUAGAAUACCUCUGUACAAAAGUUACAACUCAGCAGUUGUUGAAGCGGGUGGGUAUAAGAACAUGACCUGGGUGGAAAAGGAUUAUCGCAAUUAUGUUGAACGAGUGAGGCAAUUGAGACUUGAUGAAGGAGAUGCCGCGAUAAUACAGUCCUAUUUUUCACAAAUGUAAGCACAGUGUCCGAGUUUUUACUACUGUAUGGAUUUAGAUGAAGAAUCAAAGGCUUAUGAAUCUCUUCUGGACAGAUAAGAGGUGUAGGCAAGCAUAUAAGGAGUUUGGGGAUGUAGUGACGUUUGAUACCACUUAUCUCACAAAUAAAUAUGACAUGCCUUUUGCCCUCUCCAUUGGAGUAAAUCAUCACGGACAAUCAACACUCCUUGGAUGUGGUUUGCUGGCAAAUGAAGAUACAGAUACAUUUGUUUGGCUAUUCAGGAUAUGGAUGCAGUGUAUGCAUGGUCAAGCACCAAAUGGAACUAUUACCGAUCAAGACAGGGAUGUGGAAAAUGUAAUUGCGAUAGUAUUUCCAAACACGAGACAUAGAUGCUGUUUGUGGUAUAUAUUGAAGAAGUUGUCAGAGAAGUUUGGGUACCACGUUUACAAAGGCUCCAUUUUUUUUUGUCUAUACACAGCUUAGUGUAUGAUACGCGGGUCGUUGAAGAAUUCGAAGAAGGUUGGAAAGCUAUGCUUGAUACCUAUGACUUACAUGAGAAUGAUUGGUUGUCUGGGUUGUUCGAGAACAGGGGUCGUUGGGUCCCAUAUUAUUUGAAAACAACUUUUUGGGCGGGGAUGUCAACAACUCAGUGUAGUUAGAGUAUGAAUGCGUUCUUCGAUGGGUAUGUGCAUUCUAAGAUAUCAUUGAAAUAGUUCGUCGAGCAAUAUGAACGAGCAUUACGAAAUAAAAUUGAGAAGGAAUUCCAAGCGGAUUUCAAAACUUACUCACAGAUGGCAUCCUGUGUAACAAAAUAUAAAAUGGAAAAACAAUUCCAGAUUGUUUAUACCAUUUUGAAAUUUCGAGAAUUUCAAGAUGAGAUAACUGGGAAGGUCUACUGCAUUGUGAUAUCUGUAACUGAUAUAUGUUUGGAGAAUUUGUAUGAGGUUGAGGAGGAUGUCAUUUACGAAGAAAAUGUUAGAAAAAAAAGUUUUCAAUCACAUUUCGGGCAGAGGAUUGCAAUGUUAUUUGCAGUUGCUACUUAAUCGAGUUUCGUGGUAUUUUGUGUAAACAUGCCAUAUCAGUGUUGAUACAUAAUGACAUCACAUCACUACCGAAGAGGUAAAUAUUGAGGAGAUGUAGACGAGAUGUUAGUAGAGCCCACCGAGGGUUGCUGUGAAUUACGCUGGUUUGGUUAGCACUCUUAGCCAAUUGAGGUAUGAUAAAAUGUGUGAAGUGUUCACAACAUUGGCAGACAUUGCUGUCGAUGACGAAGAGCGAACUCGUGCGAUAAUAGAUUGGAUUCAAUCGCAGUCCAAAGAUAUGAUGUCUAUGAAGGCGAAUUGGGAAAGUAAUAGCAUUUCGCAACGUAGUUUGCAUUUAGGUUCACAGCCUAGAGCAUCACAUGACACUGGCAGCAGUACUACAGCAUCGACUUCUAGCAAAAGGACAGAGAUCGAGAGCGACGAAAAGCAAUCUUCGACCCAACACACCAUUCGUUCAGUCCUCGCCACAUACACAAUAUUCGAUGAUGACACAAUUCUCAAAUUCACAAGUCAUGGCUAUAACUAUUUAUUAUUGGCAGAUGUAUUGGAGGCAAGUUUCUAAUGAAAUUUUCAUUUCAUGUAGGGCGACGAAGAAAGUCACGCACUAACACAACAAGUGCAUCUACAAAUUUUAUUCCCGCAUCAACAUCGAAUGUGUUUGUUCAAAUAUCCCGGUGAGUAUACGGUUUCCAAUGUGUAUUUAGCAUGUUCCUAAAUGUGUAUUUAGCAUAUGUCCAAAAUUUUCGUGUUUAUGUUAGGUAAUACAAUGCCAUACUCCUAUCCCGAUUUGUUGUACAAUGUUGGAACACAAUUGGGAAUGACACUGUCCGCAAUGGGUGUUUUUCCUCUUGGAAUUCACGGUGUAAGUGGUGUAAUUUUUCUACUUACAAACAGUUAAUUUCAUAUGGUUCUCCAAUGUACUUGCAAUAACAAUAAGUUAAACGUCAUUUCAGACAUUGUCUUCACCAACCAACAUAGCAGAUUGGAUGUCCAGUCCCCCCAUACCAUUCCACAUGGUGCUAUUGCUGGAGGUCGUUCUACUCUUGUUUAGAAUCCGAGUUCAGGGAUGGCUCAUCAAGAUCCUGCAAGUGAUAUUGCAAUGAAAUCUUGAUAUGCUGGUUCCUCAAGGGGACUACUAUUUAAUUCCUACAAUGUAACUCAAUAGGCCGGCAAAUGAAUUUUUUUUUCAAAAUUUGUUGUCAACGAAUGAUAUUUUCUUGUAGAUGUUUUUUCUUUUGGUUUUUGAAAAAAGUGUACUUGUGUAGUUAUUGAUUUAUAGAAUUAGAUGCUGUUGGUGCUAUCUUGCUGUUGUCGUUUAAACAACAUUGACAAAUGUUGGAGGAUUUAUUUGUAAAAUUUCCUUUAGUGCAGAUGUAACCGUCAAUUUCUUAGUAGAGUUGCUUGAUUUUCCAUUUUUCAAUGUCCCCGGGCAUAAUGGAUUACAU